rnacentral:rRNA from 1 species
GAUGAACGUUGGCGGCGUGCUUAACACAUGCAAGUCGAACGCAGAUAGCAAUAUUUGAGUGGCGCACGGGUGAGUAACACGUAGCUUACCUACCCUGAAGAGUGGGAUAACGGUUCGAAAGAGCUGCUAAUACCGCAUAAGCUCACGAGUUCCAGAGACUUGAGAGAAAACGGGGAAACUCGCUUCAGGAGGGGGCUGCGGCCCAUCAGCUAGUUGGUGAGGAAAGGCUUACCAAGGCAUCGAUCAGUAGCUGGUCUGAGAGGACGACCAGCCACACUGGAACUGAGACACGGUCCAGACUCCUACGGGAGGCAGCAGUGGGGUAAUUUUGGACAAUGGGCGAAAGCCUGAUCCAGCAAUGCCGCGUGAGUGAAGAAGG